CGGGGCGUAGCGCAGUUUGGUCAGCGCGCAUGUUUUGGGAACAUGAGGCCGCGAGUUCGAAUCUCGCCGCCCCGACCA
rnacentral:tRNA from 1 species